UACAGAGGGUGCGAGCGUUAAUCGGAAUUACUGGGCGUAAAGCGCGCGUAGGCGGCUUUGCAAGUCGGGUGUGAAAUCCCCAGGCUUAACCUGGGAACUGCAUUCGAGACUGCAUUGCUAGAGUAUGGGAGAGGGAAGUGGAAUUCCUGGUGUAGCGGUGAAAUGCGCAGAUAUCAGGAGGAACACCGAUGGCGAAGGCAGGUCUCUGGGC
rnacentral:rRNA from 1 species